rnacentral:rRNA from 1 species
UACAGAGACUGCAAGCGUUAUUCGGAUUCACUGGGCGGAAAGGGUGCGCAGGCGGCCAAGUGUGUGAGGCGUGAAAGCCCGGGGCUUAACCUCGGAAUUGCACCUCAAACUACAUGGCUAGAGCAUUGGAGAGGGUAGCAGAAUUCACGGUGUAGCAGUGAAAUGCGUAGAUAUCGUGAGGAAUACCAGAGGCGAAGGCGGCUACCUGGACAAUUGCUGACGCUCAGGCACGAAAGCGUGGGGAGCAAAAGGG